rnacentral:tRNA from 1 species
GGACCAGUAGCUCAGUUGGUUAGAGCAACCGGCUCAUAACCGGUUGGUCCGGGGUUCGAGUCCCUGCUGGUCCACCA